rnacentral:rRNA from 1 species
ACAUGCAGAGAACUUUCCAGAGAUGGAUUGGUGCCUUCGGGAACUCUGACACAGGUGCUGCAUGGCUGUCGUCAGCUCGUGUCGUGAGAUGUUGGGUUAAGUCCCGUAACGAGCGCAACCCUUGUCCUUAGUUACCAGCACGUUAUGGUGGGCACUCUAAGGAGACUGCCGGUGACAAACCGGAGGAAGGUGGGGGAUGACGUCAAGUCAUCAUGGCCCUUACGGCCUGGGCUACACACGUGCUACAAUGGUCGGUACAAAGGGGUUGCCAAGCCGCGAGGUGGAGCUAAUCCCAUAAAACCGAUCGUAGUCCGGAUCGCAGUCUGCAACUCGACUGCGUGAAGUCGGAAUCGCUAGUAAUCGUGAAUCAGAAUGUCACGGUGAAUACGUUCCCGGGCCUU